rnacentral:tRNA from 1 species
GGCGGGGUAGCUCAGUUGGUAGAGCAUGGGACUCAUAAGCCCAGGGUCGGGAGUUCGAUCCUCCCCCCCGCCA